rnacentral:rRNA from 1 species
AUUGAACGCUGGCGGCAUGCCUUACACAUGCAAGUCGAACGCGAACGGGCUUCGGCCCAAGUAGAGUGGCGGACGGGUGAGUAAUGCGUGGGAAUCUACCCUCGAGCGGGGGACAACCCGGGGAAACCCGGGCUAAUACCGCAUACGUCCUACGGGAGAAAGCGGGCCUCUACACUAUGCUCGCACUCGAGGAUGAGCCCACGUCCGAUUAGCUAGUUGGUAGGGUAACGGCCUACCAAGGCCACGAUCGGUAGCUGGUCUGAGAGGAUGAUCAGCCACACUGGGACUGAGACACGGCCCAGACUCCUACGGGAGGCAGCAGUGGGGAAUAUUGGACAAUGGGCGCAAGCCUGAUCCAGCAAUGCCGCGUGUGUGAAGAAGGCCUGCGGGUUGUAAAGCACUUUCAGUGGGGAAGAACGGAUACGGGCCAAUACCCCGCAUCACUGACGUUACCCACAGAAGAAGCACCGGCUAACUCCGUGCCAGCAGCCGCGGU